rnacentral:lncRNA from 1 species
UUUUAACUGUUUUACCAAACCUUUAACUUUUACUUCUAUUGUUGUGACAAAUAAUUUAUUUUAUUCUCUUGCAAACAAGUUUUCUACAAGAAAGCUAUAGAGAGCUAUAGCUCCUAGUCCAUGUGGAAUCGUUAUCUUUUUAUAAUAUAACUUGGAUAGUGCAUACUUGCACUAAAUUAUUCCACCUUAAAAUACUCAUAGUAUUUUAAGAGACACCAAUUACACAAAGAAAUCUAAAUAAAACCUAAAAUUAUUGAGUGCCAACAUAAUAACUAAUGUAAGAACUCCUUCUUUCCUGCACUCAAUUAUCCAUUUUGUUUUGUCAUUUCUUACGUAAUGGGGGCCUUAACCGUCGUACCGCUUCUCUAUACCUGCAAAAGUUAUUCUCACACCUAUAAAUUCGAAAGUAACUUUCUGGACAAUCAGCAACUGUUUCACAAGGAGGAUAUGCUGUAAUGAAAAAACAUAAUAAAACGAUGUGACUAAAUUGAGAUAAUAGGUUAUGUACGAAAUAAAAAACUAAAGUAGGUAUUUUCAUAAAAUAAAAACAAAAAAUGAAAAGAUGGAUGACCUUCGGUGUUCUUUAUGACAAGAAAAAUAUAAAUAAAUAAAA